rnacentral:sRNA from 1 species
CANUCCUACGGGGAGAAGCAGUGGGACAGUUGGCUCAGAACGAACGCUGGCGGCUUUCCCAGAACGAACGCUGGCAGCUGGCUCAGAACGAACGCUGGCGGCUGGCUCAGAACGAACGCUGGCGGCAGGCCUAACACAUGCAAGUCGAACGGUAACAGGAAGAAGCUUGCUUCUUUGCUGACGAGUGGCGGACGGGUGAGUAAUGUCUGGGAAACUGCCUGAUGGAGGGGGAUAACUACUGGAAACGGUAGCUAAUACCGCAUAACGUCGCAAGACCAAAGAGGGGGACCUUCGGGCCUCUUGCCAUCGGAUGUGCCCAGAUGGGAUUAGCUAGUAGGUGGGGUAACGGCUCACCUAGGCGACGAUCCCUAGCUGGUCUGAGAGGAUGACCAGCCACACUGGAACUGAGACACGGUCCAGACUCCUACGGGAGGCAGCAGUGGG